rnacentral:rRNA from 1 species
CUAUGCGCCUUGCCAGCCCGCUCAGGUGUGCCAGCCGCCGCGGUAAUACGGAGGAUGCGAGCGUUAUCCGGAUUUAUUGGGUUUAAAGGGUGCGUAGGCGGUCCGUUAAGUCAGCGGUAAAAUUGCGGGGCUCAACCCCGUCGAGCCGUUGAAACUGGCAGACUCGAGUUGGCGAGAAGUACGCGGAAUGCGCGGUGUAGCGGUGAAAUGCAUAGAUAUCGCGCAGAACUCCGAUUGCGAAGGCAGCGUACCGGCGCCAGACUGACGCUGAGGCACGAAAGCGUGGGGAUCGAACAGG